UACGAAGGGGGCUAGCGUUGUUCGGAUUUACUGGGCGUAAAGCGCACGUAGGCGGAUCGUUAAGUCGGGGGUGAAAUCCUGGAGCUCAACUCCAGAACUGCCUUCGAUACUGGCGAUCUUGAGUCCGGAAGAGGUGAGUGGAACUCCUAGUGUAGAGGUGGAAUUCGUAGAUAUUAGGAAGAACACCAGUGGCGAAGGCGGCUAACUGGUCCGGUACUGACGCUGAGGUGCGAAAGCGUGGGGAGCAAACAGG
rnacentral:rRNA from 1 species